AUUUGGACUUGGAAAUAACGUUGGUAGUAUAUUAAUUUUCUGUUGUUAGAAUGUUAUUGUUUUAUAUUGUGCUCAACGCUCAUCGCGACAGCCAUGAUGCGUACAUUUACGUACGAUGCGUGAGUGCGUAUACACACGUGUGGAUCGAGCAGUGCGGAGUGCUCUUUAUUUACAGUAUAUUUAUAUAUAACUGUUUGAGUGCGUCGAGAUCAUGAGCAAACGCACGCUUGUUGCGACAGCCAAUCAGAAGCAGUAAUAGUUCUGGAGACUGUAGUCGCAUUAUCUUACAUAUACGUAUGAUGUGUGAGUGUGUCAUAUAUACGUACGUUUGUGCUUGUGCGCUUGUGCGCUGUCGAGCGCUUUUAAUUGUAUACAACAUUUUUAUAUGGGUAGCUGGUGAUUCAAGAUCUAUUUUUCGACCUAUAUAAGAGAGAAAUUUGCA